rnacentral:rRNA from 1 species
UACGUAGGGUGCGAGCGUUAAUCGGAAUUACUGGGCGUAAAGCGUGCGCAGGCGGUUAUAUAAGACAGUUGUGAAAUCCCCCGGGCUCAACCUGGGAAUUGCAUCUGUGACUGUAUAGCUAGAGUACGGUAGAGGGGGAUGGAAUUCCGCGUGUAGCAGUGAAAUGCGUAGAUAUGCGGAGGAACACCGAUGGCGAAGGCAAUCCCCUGGACCUGUACUGACGCUCA